rnacentral:lncRNA from 1 species
AUGAUUAUGAAUAUGAGGAAGAAUUGUUUCUCAACUCCAUUCACCCAUCUUUAACAAAAUGAGUAUGUAUAAAUCUAUAAAGAGAAAAAAAAUUUUUUUUGUUUGUUUGUUUUUUCGAGACAGGGUUUCUCUGUAUAGCGCUGGCUGUCCUGGAGCUCACUUUGUAGACCAGGCUGGCCUCGAACUCAGAAAUCCGUCUGCCUCUGCCUCCUGAGUGCUGGGAUUAAAGGUGUGCGCCACCACGCCCUGCGAGAAAACUUUUUUUAAGGUAUGGCGGUUCAGGUGAGAAUGUUCCCACAUGACCAGAUAUUUGAACUCUUGGUCCCAAGUUGGUGGUGCUCUCUGGGACAAGAGGGUGGGGUGGGACGAGGACGACAGGGUGGGUGGCAGUCCUCCCUCCACUUCCUGUUCUCUCUCCCCUGCUUGUUAUUGACGUGCUGGGGGGGGAGGGUUAGAGGAGGGGGAGCGGUCCUCCCUCCACUUCCUGUUAGUUCUCUCUCCCCUGCUUGCCUUUGGCAAACAGGUUUCUCAGCUUCUCCCUCAGCCACUCUGAUGUCCUGCUGAGAUGCCUUUCCACCACCAUAGGCUCGCAGCCUCUGAAAGCCCGUGGCUUGAUAAUUAACCUGAGGGAAUGACCAAGAUUAGAUUUUUGUGCUCCCAGCAUGUGCCAGUAGUUGGAGGCAGGAGAUGAGUGCCAAAUUAUCCCAAAUUGAAAUUUACAGCACAUAAGUCAGAAGCAGCCAAAUUAAGCCUGGCUUUGGAAACCUUCCAGUCUUAUACGUUGAAGAACCAGAAACAAAAGAAAAAAAGAAAUACAGAUACAAGACCCCAGCUCUGGGUCAUUCUUUAUGAACUGAACUGGACAGAGAUGUGCCACUGAGAACUACCAAUUCUAUGAGAAUAGCACUAGGCCAGGCGUGGUGGCCUUUAAUCCCAGCACUCCGGAGGCAGAGGCAAGCGGAUUUCUGAGUUCGAGGCCAGCCUGGUCUACAAAGUGAGUUCCAGGACAGCCAGGGCUGUAGUCCCCCCUCCCCCAGCCUGAAACCUGCUUGCUCAGGGGUGGAGCUUCCUGCUCAUUCGUUCUGCCACGCCCACUGCUGGACCUUGCAGCUUUGCUGUUUGGAGCCACAUCGUGCUCACCCUGCUACUGGAUUCCGAGAUUAUUUGGCGGGAAUCGGGUCCCCUCCCCCUUCCUUCAUAACUGAGUGUCGCAACAGUAAAAUUGAGCUUUGAUCAG